AGUGAGAACAUGUUUAGGACACUUUUCUACAGUGGAAGAAAAGCUUCUGUCUGCAGGUCCAAAGGCACUGGUGGUGGACUAGGAAAAUGAACUGUGUGUGGGCGCCAUACUGGACAGAUGAAGAUUGGUGUAGAGGCCAGUGCAGGUCCUGAGUUGGAAAAAGAUGAAUCAGACCCAGUCCCUCCCUGGAGUUGCUCAGAGGUCUGGAGGAGAAAGGCAUAGAG
rnacentral:lncRNA from 1 species